AGUGGGACAACUGGGUCAAAUGGGGAUUCCAUUCCAAGCUUUCUGAGAAAUCUCCAUACUGCUUUCCAGAGUGGUUGUACCAAUUUGUAGUCCCACCAGCAAU
rnacentral:pre_miRNA from 1 species